rnacentral:rRNA from 1 species
UAGGGAAUCUUCGGCAAUGGACGAAAGUCUGACCGAGCAACGCCGCGUGAGUGAAGAAGGUUUUCGGAUCGUAAAACUCUGUUGUUAGAGAAGAACAAGGACGUUAGUAACUGAACGUCCCCUGACGGUAUCUAACCAGAAAGCCACGGCUAACUACGUGCCAGCAGCCGCGGUAAUACGUAGGUGGCAAGCGUUGUCCGGAUUUAUUGGGCGUAAAGCGAGCGCAGGCGGUUUCUUAAGUCUGAUGUGAAAGCCCCCGGCUCAACCGGGGAGGGUCAUUGGAAGCUGGGAGACUUGAGUGCAGAAGAGGAGAGUGGAAUUCCAUGUGUAGCGGUGAAAUGCGUAGAUAUAUGGAGGAACACCAGUGGCGAAGGCUGCUCUCUGGUCUGUAACUGACGCUGAGGCUCGAAAGCGUGGGGAGCAAACAGG